rfam:Aedes albopictus isolate Foshan contig11498, whole genome shotgun sequence.
GGCUCGGUAGCUUAGUUAGUAAAGCACUUGUCUAACGUAUAAGGGUCGUGAGUUCAAAUCUAACCUGAGCUG